GCGAUUUUUGGCCCAUUUUGAGCCGAUUUUUGAGUCGUGCAACCGUUUUGGUGAUCGGCCGAUUGUGGUCUUCAUCGUGUGUCGUGCAUCGGGUAGUAUACAUGGGGUAACGUGAAGCGAUUAACACCUCAUGACACCUCACGACCAGCUCCCGAUCGUCAAUCGCUUGGUCGAGGUUUGAAAUCCUCACGACCGUCCUGAGGGUGUCACCGCAGCCGCUCACACUGCGCACGCGCAAACACAUAAACAUCGGUGAGAAAGACGGAGUAGCACAGCAGUGCAGCGUGUGAUCUGGACACAAGCGAUGGAGGCACAACUUGUAGAACUUUGGAAAGCUCAUCCGAGCCUUUUCGAUGUGGCCUCACAAAAUUAUCACGACCACAACAACCAUGAAAAAUGUUGGAUCUACAUUGCUGCUCAAUCACAGCUGCUUGAUCAAUGUUUUUCAUUAGCAAUUUAGCAAAGUUGAUGGUGGUGUGUGUGUGUGUCUGUGUGAGUGAAAGACAGAGAGGCAGAGCGAGCGACAAAAUUUCUGUUACAACCUUCAUUUUAUGGAUGCACAGUGUGAGCACUCAGAUCGCAUCAGAGCAUCAGGCCGUAUAGUGUGAGACCCUGCAUCGUGACCUAUGAACUUCUAACCAAUCGAGCAGUUUGAGCAGGAGCUGAAUAGCGCGACUGAAAAAUUCGCUCAGUGUCUGCCCAGCUUAAGGACAGCGCAGCGAGACCUCUCUGCUCAUGAGCAAACACAAAAAAACAGCUCAGAUCCAGACUCAGAUUUGGUGCCUUUCAGUGUCUGAAGAUGUGUUCGAGUCUCUCCACCAGCCGCCUGAUUCUUCUGAUCUCCCUGAGUGUGAUGAUGCUCAUCUCUGUAUCAGGGGCUGAACACGUGGGGAUACUCUGCUAUGAAAAUCAUUCUAACCAAAAUGCAAGAACCACAAAGGGUACACCUGUAUGGGCCAAAAACAUCAUCAGCUGCUUUGAACAAAACAGACAUGGCUGCCUUCAUGGCUAUGAGGUCAAAACACAAGCGCCAAAAACACGUGCAGAAAGAACAUUUUUCCUCAAACCAAACACCGAGUGGAUAAAAAGGAAAAUAAAUGAGGGAACUCUGCUGUGUCCUCCACAGAUUUCUAAAUGAUGAUAAUGGAAACGAUGAAACAAAAGCUGUAGGACACAAGACCCUAGUGUUUUUUGCCCAUUAUUCAUUAUUAAUUCUUUUCUUCUUCUUUUCUUUUUUCUUCUUCUUUCACCACCACAGGGAACUCUGCUGUGUCCUCCAGUGUUUUCAAAUAAACAUGUAUAAGCUAUUAAUCUUUAAUGAGUCCUCCCACUGUAGUUUGUAUAUUCCAACUGCACUACACUGUUUAGAAGCAGUGACUGUCUGUCAUCUUGUCUCGUAGGUUUCUUAAUUCACACAGUGAUUUUCAUAGAUUUAAUCUAAGUAUAGAUGAUGAAAAUGAUGAAACAUAGUUAAAGUAAAGCAGCUGCUGGAAACAUUUCUGCUCAUUUAUUAGUUCACACUUUGACAGAAAUAUUUGUUAAGAAAUGUAAAUUAUUUUUUGCAAAUUAUUCAUAGCACCUUAACAGUCUUAUGUUCACACACACACACACACAUAUAUAUAUAUUUAUAUAUGUACAAUACAAAGCAAUUUUACUAUAUAACAUGUUUAAAGCCAGGGGGUACACCAAAUUGCUUCACAGUAAGGAAUGAACAGUAAAAUGAUAACACUGAACAGUAAGUCAUUAAAAAAUGUAAAAUAGAGAAACAAACAAAGGCAUUAGUAAGUAGGGAUUGGCAGAAUUCAUGAUAAUCCAGAGAAAUGAGUAAAGAUACGCCAGUUAGUGAUUGGUGAGAAUUAGCAAAUAUACUACAAAUAUCAUUAAAUAUGAAUGUUAUUCUGUCUUCAAGCUGAGAACAAAGAUAAAUCAAUAAAAGCUUCUGAAAUCAGA
ensembl:lncRNA